UUAAAAAUAACACGUAGAUGUUUGCCCGGGAUGGCUAUGAGUUAUACCUUUCGAGUUGGACCCUUUCAGUGAUGUUUUUUUUGUUUCUCUCGGGACACUGCCCGGAAAUUUCAAGACUUGGCGAUUAAACUUCCGCUGAUCAUGUUCAUUACUUUGGAUGAGUUAUAAGGAACAUUUGAACGUAGAAUCUGUUGAUCAUAAAGGUUUAGUUUCCAUUCAUCUGUUUGAGAGGAUGGUUAUAAUUCGAGAAUUUAUGGGAACGAAGUUCAUCAAUAUUGUAUAUUGAAAUUCAACAUUUAUGUAUGUCAAAUACUUUUGUAGAUUAUAUGUGUAAAAAAAACAUUAUUAAAGGUAUAAAUGUAUUUAAAUAAAUGUUUUCAAUUUA
rnacentral:lncRNA from 1 species